rnacentral:rRNA from 1 species
UGAACGCUAGCGGCAGGCCUAAUACAUGCAAGUCGGACGGGAUUGAGAUUAAAGCUUGCUUUAAUUUCAUGAGAGUGGCGCACGGGUGCGUAACGCGUGAGCAACCUACCCAUAUCAGGGGGAUAGCCUCUCGAAAGAGAGAUUAACACCGCAUAACAUCAUUUACCGGCAUCGGAUUAUGAUCAAAUAUUUAUAGGAUAUGGAUGGGCUCGCGUGACAUUAGCUAGUUGGAGGGGUAACGGCCCACCAAGGCUACGAUGUCUAGGGGCUCUGAGAGGAGAAUCCCCCACACUGGUACUGAGACACGGACCAGACUCCUACGGGAGGCAGCAGUAAGGAAUAUUGGUCAAUGGAGGGAACUCUGAACCAGCCAUGCCGCGUGCAGGAUGACUGCCCUAUUGGUUGUAAACUGCUUUUGUCAGGGAAUAAACCUUUCCACGUGUGGGAAGCUGAAUGUACCUGAAGAAUAAGGAUCGG